CCUACGGGAGGCAGCAGUGAGGAAUAUUGGUCAAUGGCCGGAAGGCUGAACCAGCCAUGCCGCGUGAAGGUCAGUGCCCUAUGGGCGUUAAACUUCUUUUGUGCGGGAGCAAUAAUGGUCACGUGUGGCCAGACGAGAGUACCGUACGAAUAAGCAUCGGCUAACCUCGUGCCAGCAGCCGCGGUGAUACGGGGGGUGCAAGCGUUAUACGGAUUUUUGGGGUUUAAAGGGUGCGUAGGCUGGGAGGUAAGUCAGCGGUGAAAUGCCCCGGGUCAACAGGGUGAAGUGCCAUUGAUACUGCCGUGCUGGAGUGCGGAUGAAGUGGGCGGAAUGUGUGGUGUAGCGGUGAAAUGCAUAGAUAUCACACAGAACACCGAUUGCGAAGGCAUCUCACGAAUCCGCGAUUGACGCUGAUGCACGAAAGCGUGGGUAUCAAACAGGAUUAGAUACCCGGGUAGUC
rnacentral:rRNA from 1 species